CGGGCGCGGUGGCUCACGCCUGUGACCCCAGCACUUUGGGAGACCGAGGAGGGAGAAUCACUUGAGGUCCGGGGUUCGAGACCAGCCUGGCCAAUACAGUGAAACCCUGUCUCUACUACAAAUACAAAAAUUAGCUGGGCAUGGUGGUGGGCACCUGUAUCCCCGCUACUCAGGAAGCUGAGGCAUCAUCAUGAUUGGGUAUUUGCCAGAACAAAGAAAACAAUCACAGAGGACCAUAAAAGUCCUUUAAGCUACAGAGUCAUAAAUCCUGAAUAACGAAUUCCCCCUGGGCAACCAAGCAACAGAACCACUGACAUCCCAGGUCCUGAGAGCUGACCUCUCAGAUUAGUAAAACUACACCUCUGCAUGGAGCAUCCUUAACUUUUCCUGCUGUCCUCUUGAACGGCAACUUUGAAAGUUAAGCUCUUAACAAAUUUGAAUUCUAAAUCUGUUCAACAAAAUUAAAUCAUUCCUGUGUUUUUCUGUGAA